AUUUAUUUUCUACAGCCUUCCAACAUCUGCAGAAAGUCAAGUAAUUUUGCCAGUCUUCAUCGCCACCAUUGUCGUCUUCCUGGUGCUAGUAUGUGCUCUACUCUUUGUUAUCAGGGCUCAGAGGACUCAACACAACCUGCUUAAGAGUCAGGGUCAGGUAAUGCCAGCACAGUUGCCAUGAGCCAACAUCUACCAAGUGGAGAAGG